UUUGUUUUGUAAAAACACAUGACUUUUUUGGGACAUAGCCAACAUUUUUCCUUUUCAAGUAUGCUAUCAAUUUAGCGAACUUCGAGAUGUCAACUUGAUGUUUAAUGUUAAGAGUACUUUUCAAUAUGGAAUAUGUUGACCAUAAUGUACUAGGUUUUUUACUUUCCCCAACUUCACUAAAGUAAGCCAAUACCACGUUUUCGGAAUAAAAAUUCUUUGCUCCUUUUUGAGCGCACCAAUUCUUGUAACUGACAUAUGUUUUUUCAUAUCGGGACUUACUCUUUAUCGGCAACAAAUUACUUGACAAUUUUGCGGCAGCCGCUCUAAGUUCAGGUGGGGUGCUUUCCAAAACACUACAAUCACUAUCUGAUGACAUUUUUAUUUAAAAUAAUGCACCGCCUGCACAAAAGGGAACUGAAAAUGUCAACAGUUUUUCAAUUUUUUAUAUGCAAAGCCUACCAUUAAAAUUAUGGAAGAAGUGAAGUGUAUCCUAAUCCAAUUAAAUAUGGAAUUUGUUAUAUUACAAGGUAGAUUGUGAAUAAAAUAGUAUACAUACACUCGGUGGACGUGGAAUUGCGCCGAUGAGUUAAAAAAAUUGGAGGACUACUUACAUUCAGACGUUGCAAUGAAUAGAUCUGUAAAAGAAAUUGCAUCAUCCGGAGGAAAAACUGUGUACGAUUUAAUUUAUAGAUCGACACAAAAGCUAAUCACAAACAAAUUUGCUUCACAGUACAGCUAUUAUGGCCGCCAAAAGAAGCAGAAGUUUAAUUAAUGCUUUACAACUAAACGAACUGCUCAAAAAAGUGGCUAUGAACAUUUUUCCGUGUUGCACCGAACAAGAAGCUGAGCAGAACAUCGCUAAAUGGCUACGUCGAUGCAUGGAAAGGUCAAAAAAAGAAAAAUGUAUGUAAACGAUUUAAGCUUUUUAUACUUUUUUAUACUUGUAUUGUUAGAUAGGAUUUUUGUUUAAAAUAUGUAUCUUUUUAUUGUAUGUUUUUUUAUACUUAAAAGUUU